rnacentral:pre_miRNA from 1 species
ACAACAUUCGGACCUUCGGUCUACCAAGGAAUAUCACCCGCUCGGUGGAAGAUUUCCUUUGAUGAU